rnacentral:rRNA from 1 species
UACGUAGGGGGCUAGCGUUGUCCGGAAUCAUUGGGCGUAAAGAGCGUGUAGGCGGCCCGGUAAGUCCGCUGUGAAAGUCGGGGGCUCAACCCUCGAAUGCCGGUGGAUACUGUCGGGCUAGAGUGCGGAAGAGGCGAGUGGAAUUCCUGGUGUAGCGGUGAAAUGCGCAGAUAUCAGGAGGAACACCGAUUGCGAAGGCAGCUCGCUGGGACGUGAACUGACGCUGAGACGCGAAAAGCGUGGGGAGCAAACAGG